rnacentral:lncRNA from 10 species
CACAGGAGACCAAUCAUGAUUUAAGACUCUGCAUUGGGCGUUUUGCAGUUCUAACUCAAUUGUGGUAUUAGCAAAGAAAAAGAGGUAACGGCUACCAGAUAGACAGCCAAUAAAAUCUGCCAGAUGUUCAGAAAGGCAAAAUUAACCUGGAAGUGGUGUGCGGAAUGGAUGAAGGGGAUAAGUUAUAAGGGGCAGUGCUGGAGAACAUACGGAGGAAGGGCAUCAACCAGAGCAUUGAUGACGCCAAGUUAGAGUCAUGUGAAAGCUUUUUGCCAUAUAACUGACCACUGCCUUCCCAGCCAUCAACUCUUCUUUGAGCCGUUUUUUCUCCUUCUUUCUUACAACAACAACUCACUACCCUUCAACUUUAAACUUUCUGCAAAUAACAUAUGGGGAAGUUAUCACUGUCAAGCCUAGAUGUGUGGUGUUAUCGUUAAGUAUGAAACUGUGAUAGUGACUGCAAAGUACUAAAACUAUCCUAUAAAAUUGUGGAAAACAUCAGAAGAGGCCCUUGAGAUUUUGUCCUCCAGAAAAUACGACAACUACAUUCUCUACCCCUGCAAAAUCAGUGCACACAGUUUCUAAAGGAAUAAUGAACUUCUCUUUAAGGAAUAUGUAAAAUGCUCCAGUGUGUUGCUCCCCUCUAUGUGUCCAUGUGGUCUCAUCAUUUAGCUCCCACUUACAGGGUCUCUCUCUGUCACCAAACCUGGAGUGUAGUGAUGCGAUCAUGGCUUACUACACCCUCAACCUCCGGUGCUCAAGCCAUCCUCCCACCUCAGCCUGCUGAGUUGCUGGGACUACAGACUCAUGCCACCAUGCCUGUCUAAUUUUUGUAUUUUUUGUAGAGAUAAGGUUUUGCCAUGUUGCCUAGGCUGGCAAGUUAACUAUUAAAAAUGAAUGAUCUCAUGCUCAUAGCUUGCUGUCCAUUUUAAAUACAGUUAUCUGGCAACAUAAUUGGGUAGGCUCAAGGCUGGGCUAGGCACUUUUGUUACAGUGAUGAAUACAUCUAGGCAUACUAUGGAAACAAGAACAUAUUUAAUUCUAAGACCUGAUCAAACCAAUCUUGAAUCACCUAAUGUGUAAAGAACACGUGUUAAAUUGACAAAUUUCCCUUAGAAGUAUGGAACUAAUUCAAUAGCUUUUAAAAUAUUAUUUCCCCUAUCAAUCUAUUAGUCACUUUGGAGAGAUGUAAACAGCAAAGUCAGCAAGCAUUCUUUGAUAUCACAUGUAUAAUCUUGUUUUGAAAAACUGCUCCUGCCUAGUACAUCUUCUGGUGAUAAAUUUCUAGUGAAGAAAACAUCUGGUAAAACUUACUUAUCACCAUGGUCUCAUAAUGAAAAAUGGCAUCCUCAGGAAAAGAGUCUCCUAAAGAUGCAAUUUCUGGAACAAGGUUCUGUGAUAUCUAACAAUGCAACCCUGCAUCACUUCUCUUUACCCAGGCAUUAAAAACAAUUCUCAAUUUUCAAACAUACUGUAUGUCACAUGUGUUAUCGGCAAAUGUAUUUUUCCAUCAAAUAAACAUUACGGUAAUGAUUGGGUUGCCAGUCCAGUCACUACAAGCCUAUUUGAAUCACAAUGUACAGAAAUCUGUUAGGAAGACCACUCCACAAACUAUCCAUCAUGUGUAAGCAUGUUUCUCUUUAGGAAGUAUAUUAAAAAUUUCAUCCUGGACAACCAGAAAUACUUCCUGCUUCUUCCACUUCCCUAAUUUACUCAAAAACUGGGGCAUAUUACAAUUUCUUGCUCAGCAACCUGGCUCUCAUUUUUUAGGCUAAAGAAGUCAUCUAUCUGAACAGAAUCUAGAGGUCAGGACUGAAAUGAACACUUAGGCUGGAUAAAUGAAAAGAGGAAAGAGCUGAUAAGAGUAUUUGGACUACUGAUCCACUGAAAGUGUUUAGCACACACAAAAAAAUGUUUUUCCAUUUCUCCUGUCUGGCUUUAUCAUAGGUUGAACACCCCUUGUACAAUGAAUCCCAAUGCAAGAUUUUAAACCCAUCUGUUAAUUACAUACUUUUAAUAUUAUAACACUGUAAAGUUUUUUUGCAGUUUACCCAGAGAUAAAUUAUAUUAAGUAUGUAAAGUAAGUCAUUCAAUACUUUUUCUAGUAAAGAAUAGAAUGUGUAUGUAAUGGUUCACAGAUUUUGAAUCAUGCUGUAUAUACAGUUUUGUACUCACUGUCAAUGAAUAAUGAAGAUUUGCAUAUGAUAGUUUCUUAAUAUGAUUUUCAUUAGUGUAUAGUAUAAUAAUUAUUGGGCACAAUAUUUUUUAAAUUUAUUUAAUUUAAAUUGUAAUUUAAAUAUUAAUUUAAUUAAUCGAUUUAAUUUUAAUUAAUUUAAUUAAUUUGCACAAUUAUAACAUUAAUGAACACUAUUACACAUCAAGCUUUGUGUACUAAUUUUAUAUUUAUAAUAUUGGAAAAUUAGAAAUAAUGAGUAAAUAGAUACUUUAAAGCUUGGCAUAUAUAUUGACGUUUUUCAAUCCUAGCUUCACAUAAUUAUUUCGGAAGCUUUUAAAAAAUGUUACCUGCGUGUGCACUAUUAAAGUUUUAGUUUGAUCAAUCUCAGGUAGGACCCAAUUUCCCUUGCAUUUAAAAGUUCCCCAGGUGAUUCAAGUAUAAAUUCCAGCUAAAGGCUGAUAUUCACAUUAACAAAUUUAAGCAUAUCAAUUCACACUCCUCCAACAUUGUAAAAAUUGUCUAUUCAGUCUAAAAUUGUGUAUUAUCCUUAUUUUAACCUUGGUCAAGUAAGUGACAAUGGUAUCCAUUAUCAUCUUAAUUUGCAUUUUUUUAUUCAAACUGAAAAUUUUCCAAAAUAUUCGUUAUACAUUUGUAAUUUUCCUUUUAUUAAUUGCCUCUUCAUAUUCCAUGCCCAUUUGUUCACUUGCAAUGUUCAGGUUUUUAUUAUUGUCAACAAUAAUCUAUGAGAAUUAUUCUGCCAAAUACAGCAGAUCUGUCAUUUAUCUUUUAAUUUUGUUGAUGUUGCAGGUUAUAUAAAAAUGUAAAAUAAUUGAAUCUACUUUUUUCAUAUAGUUUUCUAUUAUUAUUAUUAUCCUCAUUUAAGCCAGAUGUCAGCUGAUAUCACUAUACUUCUUAAAACCAAACUAAAACCAUGCAUUUCGAAGUUUAUUUUCUUGUUCACCUCAGGCUCUAGGCUUCAGAUUCCAUCAAAUUAGUUCAAUUUAAUAAUCAUCUUACCAUCACCAUACUCAUUUGUAUAUCUGUGUGUAUGACUAUGUGUGUAUAUUAACUUCUAUACAAUUGUAUAAAUUAUGUAGGUUCAUGG